GAUGAACGCUGGCGGCGUGCUUAACACAUGCAAGUCGAACGGGGGACAAUUUAAAGAAGCUUCGGCAGAUUUAGCUUGUUCCUAGUGGCGGACGGGUGAGUAACGCGUGGGUAACCUGCCUCACACUGGGGGAUAACAGUCAGAAAUGACUGCUAAUACCGCAUAAGCGCACAGAACCGCAUGGUUCAGUGUGAAAAACUCCGGUGGUGUGAGAUGGACCCGCGUUGGAUUAGCCAGUUGGCAGGGUAACGGCCUACCAAAGCGACGAUCCAUAGCCGGCCUGAGAGGGUGGACGGCCACAUUGGGACUGAGACACGGCCCAGACUCCUACGGGAGGCAGCAGUGGGGAAUAUUGCACAAUGGGGGAAACCCUGAUGCAGCGACGCCGCGUGAAGGAAGAAGUAUCUCGGUAUGUAAACU
rnacentral:rRNA from 1 species